rnacentral:rRNA from 1 species
GAUGAACGCUGGCGGCGUGCCUAAUACAUGCAAGUCGAGCGAACAGACGAGGAGCUUGCUCCUCUGACGUUAGCGGCGGACGGGUGAGUAACACGUGGAUAACCUACCUAUAAGACUGGGAUAACUUCGGGAAACCGGAGCUAAUACCGGAUAAUAUAUUGAACCGCAUGGUUCAAUAGUGAAAGACGGUUUUGCUGUCACUUAUAGAUGUAUCCGCGCCGCAUUAGCUAGUUGGUAAGGUAACGGCUUACCAAGGCGACGAUGCGUAGCCGACCUGAGAGGGUGAUCGGCCACACUGGAACUGAGACACGGUCCAGACUCCUAAGGGAGGCAGCAGUAGGGAAUCUUCCGCAAUGGGCGAAAGCCUGACGGAGCAACGCCGCGUGAGUGAUGAAGGUCUUCGGAUCGUAAAACUCUGUUAUUAGGGAAGAACAAAUGUGUAAGUAACUAUGCACGUCUUGACGGUACCUAAUCAGAAAGCCACGGCUAACUACGUG